rnacentral:rRNA from 1 species
UGGGGAAUAUUGCACAAUGGGGGGAACCCUGAUGCAGCGACGCCGCGUGAAGGAAGAAGUAUUUCGGUAUGUAAACUUCUAUCAGCAGGGAAGAAAAUGACGGUACCUGACUGAGAAGCCCCGGCUAACUACGUGCCAGCAGCCGCGGUAAUACGUAGGGGGCAAGCGUUAUCCGGAUUUACUGGGUGUAAAGGGAGCGUAGGCGGUUUAGCAAGUCAGAAGUGAAAGCCCGCAGCUCAACUGGGGGACUGCUUUUGAAACUGUUAAACUAGAUUGCAGGAGAGGUAAGUGGAAUUCCUAGUGUAGCGGUGAAAUGCGUAGAUAUUAGGAGGAACACCAGUGGCGAAGGCGGCUUACUGGACUGUAAAUGACGCUGAGGCUCGAAAGCGUGGGGAGCAAACAGGAUUAGAUACCC